GACAGAGGGGGCAAGCGUUGCUCGGAAUCACUGGGCGUAAAGGGCGCGUAGGCGGGAUGGCAAGUCGGUCGUGAAAUCCCUCGGCUCAACCGAGGAGCGUCGGCCGAUACUGCCGUUCUUGAGGGAUGCAGAGGAGACUGGAAUUCCCGGUGUAGCGGUGAAAUGUGUAGAGAUCGGGAGGAACACCGGUGGCGAAGGCGGGUCUCUGGGCAUCUCCUGACGCUGAGGCGCUAAGGCCAGGGGAGCAAACGGG
rnacentral:rRNA from 1 species